UACAGAGGCCUCGAGCGUUAGGCGGAAUCACUGGGCUUAAAGCGUGUGUAGGCGGACUUCUAAGUACCUUGUGAAAUCCCACGGCUUACCCGUGGAACUGCUGGGGUAUACUGGUUGUCUUGAGCUUUCUAGGGGCGAGCGGAACAAAUGGUGGAGCGGUGAAAUGCGUAGAUAUCAUUUGGAACGCCAAUGGUGAAAAACAGCUCGCUGGGGAAAUGCUGACGCUGAGACACGAAAGCCAGGGGGAGCGAACGGG
rnacentral:rRNA from 1 species